rnacentral:rRNA from 1 species
UAGGGAAUAUUGCUCAAUGGGGGAAACCCUGAAGCAGCAACGCCGCGUGGAGGAUGAAGGUUUUCGGAUUGUAAACUCCUUUUGUUAGAGAAGAUAAUGACGGUAUCUAACGAAUAAGCACCGGCUAACUCCGUGCCAGCAGCCGCUGUAAUAUACGUCU